CACGUAGGGGGCGAGCGUUGUCCGGAAUCAUUGGGCGUAAAGAGCUCGUAGGCGGCUCGGUAAGUCGGGUGUGAAACCCCCAGGCUCAACCUGGGGACGCCACCCGAUACUGCUGUGGCUAGAGUCCAGUAGGGGAGUGUGGAAUUCCCGGUGUAGCGGUGAAAUGCGUAGAUAUCUGGAGGAACACCGGUGGCGAAGGCGGCAUCCUGGACCGGUAUUGACGCUGAGGCGCGAAAGCCAGGGGAGCAAACGGG
rnacentral:rRNA from 1 species